CCUACGGGAGGCAGCAGUGGGGAAUAUUGGACAAUGGGGGGAACCCUGAUCCAGCGACGCCGCGUGAGUGAAGAAGUAUUUCGGUAUGUAAAGCUCUAUCAGCAGGGAAGAAAGAAAUGACGGUACCUGACUAAGAAGCCCCGGCUAACUACGUGCCAGCAGCCGCGGCAAUACGUAGGGGGCAAGCGUUAUCCGGAUUUACGGGGUGUAAAGGGAGAGGAGAGGGCGAUGAAAGUCUGAAGUGAAAGGCGGGGGCCCAACCUCCGGACUGCUUUGGAAACUGUAUGGCUUGAGUGCAGGAGAGGUAAGUGGAAUUCCUAGUGUAGCGGUGAAAUGCGUAGAUAUUAGGAGGAACACCAGUGGCGAAGGCGGCUUACUGGACUGUAACUGACGUUGAGGCUCGAAAGCGUGGGGAGCAAACAGGAUUAGAUACCCUAGUAGUC
rnacentral:rRNA from 1 species